UUUGUCGUGAUAGUGUUCUGUGUGGCGCUGAUGAUGUAUAUAAUGGUUGUGUGCAUUCAGUUUUCCUUCACAAUCAAAUUUGUUUCAGGAUAUUUGUUUGGCAGUGAGACUUUGUAUUGCACUCAUGGAAAAUUAUGGAUUGGCAUUGACCACAUCAAUUCUUGGUAAAUUUCUAUCUUCCCUAUUUUUCUUUUUUCUAAUCAGCUUUUGUGCAUAAUAUUAUCAUUCUUUACAGAUUUCAGGAGGUAAAAUUAUUUGUUCCUUUUGCAAGUUUACAUGUCAAACUGUUAAAAUUUUGUGAGUUGUUAUCCCAAUAUCAAUCUUAGUUGUUAAACUACUUGAUUUUGAGGGGUGGGUACUUUAGUAGGGUUAGAAUCAAUAGUAGGGAUAAAAUGCAUUGAAGGUGUUUGAUAAAUGUCCAUGAGAAAAUAUUUGCUUUUGUUUGUUAUACUAUUCUCUCGUGAAAAGAUGAUAUUAUUAACAUAUACUAUUUUCUCAUUAAUUUCAUCAAGUUUACAUUGGAGAGACACCAAAUGUCUAUAUAAUAGAGCCACUUUGCAGUGCUUGAAGGUGAGUUUUUUUACUCUUCUACAUAUCUUAAAGACAUUAACAGUUUUCAAACUAACUUGUGAUGAAGGCAUGUUUCAUUUUAAAGAGCUCAACAACAAGUAAAGGUUAGAUCAAUAUUUCUUAUGCACUAAUUUCGACAGAUCAUGUGUUCCCUGCACAUACUCAAGGAGUCUAUUUGAGGCAUCAAUGGCUAUGUGUAUGAUUUUAGCAUUAUAUAUCAAUCAAUAUCAAUACUCUUAACAAGCUGCGGAAAAAAUACACUCUUUAGAUUUGCAAGCCUUUUAUAUUAGAAUUAUGUGUUUGCUACAAACCUUUAAGAACUUAGACUUACGGCAUAUCCUUUAUUUUCUUUACUUUUUCUAAUGUAUUAUUGUAAUUACUUAGGGUGGUGAGGUUGGUAGAUUUACUCACUAUAAGAUGAAAGGAAAUUUAAUGUUGGUUUCUUUUCUAAUAUGUAUUAUCGUUAGUUCCAUUUUUCAUGAAAGGAACUAAUGUGUUGAUUUCUUUUUUGUUAACUUAACAUUUGGAAGGGUUAGGUUAUGGGGUUAUUGGAUGUAUAAUUGUGGUAUAGAAGAGGGGGAGAUUAAUAUUAUAUACUUUGAUUUGGAUGAUUGAUAUGUAUGUGGGAUUGGUUUGGUAUUUGGUGUGUGGUUUUUCAUCUAUUAAGAAACUUUUAGUUCAUGCAAAGUGUAUUGCUAUUGUUUUAUUAUUAUCUACUUUAGACAAGAUCACGUUAGAGAGUAGUACUACCAAGCAUAUAGAUCCUGAAAUGGUGUGGAACUGUAUGUGGGCUAUGGUAGUCUGGCUCAAAACUGUUACACACAAUAGGAAUUAAGCUGCAAGACUCAAACUUAUAUGUUGUCAUUUAGUGGCAAGGAACAUUUCAUCAUCUAUAUUCAAUUCAGGUGACUAGAAACCAUAGUGCUAGGUGACAGGUUUCAUCAACAUAGAUAUUUUUUUUUGGUUCCAAUUUCAAAUAUUCACACUCCUCUUACAUCUUUUAUUUCACUCUUUUUUUUAACAAUUACUCAAUGUAUCAUUAGACAAAGGUAAAGGAGUUAUAUGUAUGAUUGUGAUUCUCUUGAGAUACCCAUUAGAACCAAGAUACUUGCCUUAAUGCAUGUUAUUCACUAUAUCCUUCCAUAUAUUCUAUCUUCAUGUCACAUGCAUCUUGAUUUUUUCUCCCUAACUUUUGGAAAUUUCACAUUGCUCUGAUUGGUUCCUUUUUACAUAUAUAUGUGUGUUGUCAACUUUGAUCAUGGAACCAAUGACUAUAUGCUUUUAUUAUUGCUGUUCGAUUUAUUGUGCAGGGUGUGUGUGAUAGAUGUAGAAAGCAUACAAUGAAGUGGUGAUAGAUGUCAGAAUUUGGCCAUAAAAAUUGCAUUUUAAUCAGACAAUGCACAUGAUUUGCGCAGUACAAGAUUGCAUUGCAUAUGAUAGUAGUUAUGAGAUGAAAGUGCAAUAUGAUGGGAUGUGGGAUGAUGAAAGCAAGAUAGAAGAUGAGCUCCAUAUUUUGACUGUAUUACAUUUGCUAUUAAUUAGUUGUAUUACUUUUUCAAAUUGACUUCUAUGUACCCUAACCUAACAGUUAGUGAAUGGUGUCUUUUUUUCUUCAA